rnacentral:rRNA from 1 species
UGCCAGCAGCCGCGGUUAAACCAAGGAAUUUAGUCAUUUUUUUUGGUAAAAAGACAGUUAGGCAGAAUAAGAUCAUUGGACCUUUAGUACAGGGGUAAAAUCUAAAUACUAAAAGUUAUAUCAGGUGUGAUUUAUUUAAGACGCUGAAUCUGUGACAACUUUAAGGGAAACUGGGAUUGGAUACCCCAUUAUUUUUAGUAGUAAAUUUAAUCUAGAUUUACCAGAGUACUACGAAUAAAAAAUUUAAAACUCAAAGAGCUUGGCGGUGUUUUAGACCUCUCAGGGGAACCUGUCUCAUAAUCGACAAUCCGCGCUAAACCCGACCCUCUGUAGCAGUUCAGCCUGUAUACCGUUGUCGUCAGGUAACUUCUUAAAAUAUAGUAGUUAGCUCGAGAAUCUUAUUAAUUAGUACGUCAAAUCAAGGUGCAGCUAAUAAGAGGGAGAGGAUGGGUUACAAUUAUAUAUUUAUAAUUACGAAAAACAUCUUAAAUAAAAUGCUGGAAGGAGGACUUGAAAGUAAUUUUGAUUAUAUAAAUAGAAUGAAUAAGGCUCUGAAACGUGCACACAUCGCCCGUCACUCU